rnacentral:misc_RNA from 1 species
GAAAUGCGAUAAGUAAUGUGAAUUGCAGAAUUCCGUGAAUCAUCGAAUCUUUGAACGCACAUUGCGCCCGGUGGCAUUCCGCCGGGCACGCCUGUCCGAGCGUCAUUGCAACAAUCAAGCCUGGCUUGGUGUUGGGGGCCUGUCGCGCCUGGCGCGACCCCCCCGGAACCCGUUGGCGGUGGCUCUCUGCCCCGAUCGUCGCGCAUGUUACGACGGUACGGAGGGCCGCCCGCCGAACCCCCCCACGACGCGAAGUUUGACCUCGGAUCAGGCGGGGAUACCCGCUGAACUUAAGC